rnacentral:sRNA from 1 species
AUGGCAGUGUGCUGUUUUGUACUUGGUGUGAAUUUUGAAGUGAGUCUCCAGACAAGCUGGCUGAGUAGCACAGUAAAUGAAUCUGCAACUCUGCGGAAUGUUGCCAGCUUCCACCCAGGGCACGAUUCUCAGCAGCCCUGCCAACAAGAGUGCAUCCUUAAGGUUUUGAUUAGUGUCACUUCGAUGAGGAUCACUGAAGAAUAAAGGACACUUUAAUCACGAGCUCGAGUAGGGAUGACCCUAAGAAAGAAAAACUCACCAUGUCAGGAAGCAAGAAACUCAACAUUCUGUUGAUGAGUAAACCUCCAAGCUCUUGCUAAAGGAUGCUGUCACUAGCCCAAGGGGGUAGUUGGCUUGAAAAAGGAAUCUUGUUUAAGUGAAGUGAUUUGUCCUGCUCUCAGAGACACUGUUGGAUGCAAAGGAGAUAUCAGCCCAUUCUUCAUGUAAGAAAUAGACUCAUCAUGUAGUGUGGCUGUCUAGAUAAAACAGCCCAUUUCUUGGGACUGUCACGUCACACUCCAGGAAGAUCACACACAAGAAGACUGUUAUGAGCAACACUGGCUGCCAUGCUGGAUGAGAUAUCUGAAUUGACUUAGCCUGUUUCUUGUAAAAAGGGGCUGAAAAAAUCCUUCUCUGUUCGUCAUUUCCAAUCAAAUUGAGUAAUAUCUUAACAUGUUGUAUAAAGGACAGCUUUGUUUUUCUUAUAUACAGUAACAUAAAUUUUCAGCACUGGCAAUUAACUACCGGAGAGUAGACGCACAUAGAGAUGUACCCAAUGGGAACACUUGUGUACACUAGCAUGGCUCUGCUCACCUUCUGUUCUGCUAUAAAAGGCAUGUUUUCUUUGUAACUAAUGAUGUACACUUCACUUUUCCUCUUCUGGAACUUUUCAUUAGCAGUGCAGUGUUCCUCUACACAGUUCUCAUAGCCAUCAGCUAAAGAUCUUAAAAUAAAACCUGGCUUCAGCACUAUCAUCUUUCCCUUGAAGCUUCACGCAAAGAAUUCACGAUGUAAUUGUUUCAGCGCUUGGCGUCAUAUCACCAGCGGUUCUGAAUAUGCAGCUAAAUGUCUGCCGUGCUGCAAUUAAAAACACACCUCUCAAACUCUUACAGAGUACAUUCAGUCCUGCUUUAUAUUACAAAUAAAACAAUAAAAUGUAAGAUAAAACACUGCUAUUAUGUAACACAGAGUUACAUGCCAGCAUUCGCAUAGAGACUCCAUAUCACAGUGCGUAAUAUUGCAUGCACAAUGCACACUGCAGCAGAAUGUAGCACUUCAGUGGCAUAUCUUCAUCUGAUGCUGACCUGUUUUUAUUAUUAUUAUUAUUAUUGUUAUCAUCAUUAUUAUUUUGUUUGCGUUACUGUUUUUGUUUUUUAGGCAGAGUCUAGUUGCAUAUUUUCACUAGCCUUGAACUCAAGAUCUUCCAGCGUUAACCUGCCAAGAGUUAUGAUUACAGGCAUGAACUGAUACUAUGCUCAGCCAAGUGCAGCCCAAGCUGUCCUCAAACUUAUGAUAUACUUUGCCUCAUCCUCUUCAACACAUUGAUUUUUCUCCAUGUUUCAUCACAACCGGUCUACAAACAUUAACAAAAUCUUGAAAUCAUUCUUCUAUAAUUAAGAAAAUUACAAGCAUUCACUGUCCAUUGAAGAAUCAAAAUUGCAGAAAGUUACCUCAGAAAGGAGGAGGUUUUUAUGAGGGAAGAGCCAACACAAAGCUUGCAAUGUAAGACUUGGGUCCUCCAGCUUAAGUUUGUUAUUGCAGAGCAUGGAGGAAGAUAGUGGAUCUUUAUGGUGGGGGAGUCCCGAAAAGCUGUGAAAAUGUACCUCCACACACCACAGUCCUUCCUGUG